rnacentral:lncRNA from 1 species
AUGAGCUUGGCUUUGAGUUUGGCAACUUUCAGGGGUAAUGGAGAGCUCACGAGCCCUGACCACCUCCCCCAGGGAGGACAGAAGCUAUCAGGUAUUUUUCCAUUGCUCCACGUUCAUCAGCCGCUCAGGCAGAAGAGUUUAAAAGAGUAUCUCACAGGUUCAUGGCCACAAUGGUCCUGUGCCUCUGAUCCCAGCUUUCCUGCCAUCUUGCCUGCACCCAGGCUAAGAAACCAGGCCUUCCCCAGGCUCCCCUGUUCUCCACUCCCUAAGUCCAAUCACUGACUGCAUUCGUUCUCUUCCUUCUUCCUUGUCACUGUCUUUUCAUACUGUCCCACCCCAGUUUGGGUUUCUAUUCCUCCUGACUAGACUACAAUAAUAACAGCAAAUAUUUAUGAGGCAAAUGCAACAAAACGAAAAUAGACAAAUGAGACUUAAUUAAACUAAAAAGCUUCUGCAUAGCAAAAGAAAUAAUCAACACAGUAAACGGACAACCUACAGAAUAGGAAAGAUUAUUUGCAAACCAUGCAUCUGACAAAAGGACUAAUAUCCGGAAUCUAUAAGGGACUCAAAUAGCUCAACAAGAAAAAAACAAGUAGCCCCAUUAAAAAAAGUGCGCAAAGGACACGGACAGAUAUUUCUCAAAAGAAGACAUUACAAGUGGCCAACAAACAUAUGAAACAAUGCUCAACAUCACUAACCAUAAAGGAAAUGAAGAUUACAGCCACAAUGAGACGCCAUCUUACAUCAGUCAGAAUGGCUAUUACGAAAAUGUCAAAAAACAACAGACGUUGGUGAGGAUGUGAAGAAAAGGGAACACUUGCACGCUGUUGGUGGGAAUGUAAAUUAGCACCACCUUUGUGAAAAACAGUAUGGAGAUUUCUCAAAGAACUCAGAACUACCAUUCAAUCCAGCAAUACCACUACUGGGUAUCUAUCCAAAGGGAGAAAGAUUAUUAUAUCAAAAAGACGCCUGCACUCAUACGUUUAUUGCAGCACUAUUCACAAUAACAAAGUUGUGGAAUCAGCCUAAAUGUCCAUCAACAGAGGGCUGGAUAAAGAAAAUGGCAUACUACUCAGUCACAGGAAAGAAUGACAUCAGGCUGGGCAUGGUGGCUCAUGCCUGUAAUCCCAACCCUCUGGGAGGCCGAGGCGGAUGGAUCAUGAGGUCAAGAGAUGGAGACCAUCCUGGCCAGUAUGGUGAAACCUCGUCUCUACCAAAAAUACAAAAAUUAGCUGGGCAUGGUGGUGCAUGCCUGUAGCUCCAGCUAUUCAGGAGGGGCUGGAAGCAGGAGAAACGCUUGAACCCUCGGGAGGCGGAUAUUGCAGGUCAGAUUACGCACUGCACUC